GAAUAUUGGGCAAUGGGCGCAAGCCUGACCCAGCAACGCCGCGUGAGGGAAGAAGGCCUUCGUGUUGUAAAUCUCUGUCCUUAGGGAAGAAGAAAGUGACGGUACCCAAGGAGGAAGCUCCGUCUCACGCCGUCCAAGCAGCCGCGGGAAUACGUAGGGGGCGCGCGUUGUCCGGAAUUACUGGGCGUAAAGGGUGCGUAGGCGGCUACGUAGGUCAGAUGUGAAAACCCCGGGCUUAACUCGGGGGGUGCAUUUGAAACUGCGUGGCUUGUGUGCAGGAGAGGAAAGUGGAAUUCCUAGUGUAGCGGUGGAAUGCGUAGUUAUUAGGAGGAACACCAGUGGCGAAGGCGACUUUCUGGACUAUAACUGACGCUGAGGCACGAAAGCGUGGGGAGCAAACA
rnacentral:rRNA from 1 species